rnacentral:tRNA from 1 species
GACACUUUGGCCGAGUGGACUAAGGCGCGAGACUCGAAAUCUCGUAUCUUCGGAUGCGCAAGUUCGAAUCUUGCAGGUGUCG